AUGAACGCUGGCGGCGUGCCUAAUACAUGCAAGUCGAGCGAACGGACGAGAAGCUUGCUUCUCUGAUGUUAGCGGCGGACGGGUGAGUAACACGUGGAUAACCUACCUAUAAGACUGGGAUAACUUCGGGAAACCGGAGCUAAUACCGGAUAAUAUUUUGAACCGCAUGGUUCAAAAGUGAAAGACGGUCUUGCUGUCACUUAUAGAUGGAUCCGCGCUGCAUUAGCUAGUUGGUAAGGUAACGGCUUACCAAGGCAACGAUGCAUAGCCGACCUGAGAGGGUGAUCGGCCACACUGGAACUGAGACACGUUCCAGACUCCUACGGGAGGCAGCAGUAGGGAAUCUUCCGCAAUGGGCGAAAGCCUGACGGAGCAACGCCGCGUGAGUGAUGAAGGUCUUCGGAUCGCAAAACUCUGUUAUUAGGGAAGAACAUAUGUGUAAGUAACUGUGCACAUCUUGACGGUACCUAAUCAGAAAGCCACGGCUAACUACGUG
rnacentral:rRNA from 1 species